UGGCUCAGGAUGAACGCUAGCUACAGGCUUAACACAUGCAAGUCGAGGGGCAGCAUUGGGAUAGCUUGCUAUUCAGAUGGCGACCGGCGCACGGGUGAGUAACGCGUAUCCAACCUUCCUGCCAGUAGGGAACAGCCCGGCGAAAGUCGGAUUAAUGCCUUAUGUUCUUCAAUGCGGACAUCUAAGUUGAAGGAAAGAUUCAUCGCUGGCAGAUGGGGAUGCGUCCGAUUAGCUUGCCGGCGGGGUAACGGCCCACCGGGGCGACGAUCGGUAGGGGUUCUGAGAGGAAGGUCCCCCACACUGGUACUGAGACACGGACCAGACUCCUACGGGAGGCAGCAGUGAGGAAUAUUGGUCAAUGGGCGAGAGCCUGAACCAGCCAAAGUAGCGUGCAGGAUGACGGCCCUAUGGGUUGUAAACUGCUUUUAUACGGGGAUAAAGUGAGGGACGUGUCCCUUUUUGUAGGUACCGUAUGAAUAAGGACCGGCUAAUUCCGUGCCAGCCGCGGC
rnacentral:rRNA from 1 species